GCCGGGCAUUGUGGCGGGCGCCUGUAGUCCCAGCUACUUGGGAGGCGGAGGCAGGAGACUCGCUUGAGCCCAGGAGUUGGAGGUUGCUGUGAGCUGUAAUGCCAUGGCACUCUACCCAGGGGAAAGCUUGAGGCUCUGUCUCAAAAAAAAAAAAAAAAAAAAUAAUUUGUUUGAGGCAGAGUCUUGUCACCUUUUGCAGAGUGCUGUGGCAUUAUAGCUCACAGCAACCUCAAACUCUUGGGUUCAAGAGAUCCUCUUGC
rnacentral:sRNA from 1 species